AAUAGAAGAAUGACAAAUCAUAUAUUUCCUCUUGAUUUUCAAUUUUUUCCUCCUCAAAAAAUUCAAAUCCAACUAAAAAUGCUAAAAAUCAAGAGGAAAAAUUUGAUUUAUCAUUCUCCUAUU
rfam:Gossypium raimondii Chr12_contig_243, whole genome shotgun sequence.